UUUGGACCAAUCUGCAAAACAGAGAAGAUUCGUUGAUCAAUGACAGAUAGAGAAAUCGAUGGAAAUACAUGAACGAAGAAAGAAACUAGAGAGAAGAACUAAAGAGGAAUCUCCAUGAUCAUGAUGAUCAUCAUCUUCAUCGUUGUCAGGUCCUACUUUCUUUCUAAAAAGUUGUAUAGAGAAAGAGAGAGAGAUGGGAAAUUUUGUGCAUUGAAAGAGAAUUUAAUUUUAAAAUUUGUAAGAUUUUUUUUUCCUUUCUUUAAAAUAUAAUUUUGACUUCUCCUUGACGAUGUCCUUUUCUAGAGUGUCCACACUCCGUAGAGAUUUGGUGAUGCCCAAACUCAUAAGCUACUUGACUCUAACUAAAGUACACAACACAAUGACAAAUUUUCAGCUUACCAAGCUCAUAGACAAGCAAGUCAUCAGUCGUAGAAUCUCAACGAUUCGAUUCCAGGCAUGGGAGAUGUUCGAUUUGGUAAAACGAUGGAGAGGUUUGAAACUAGUUAAUCUAUUUUUUUUUUAAAAACAACUUAAAAAAAAUAAAAAAAUAAUCAGCUUCAAAAAUAGUCAUAGCAAUCUUUUAAACAAGGUGCAUUCAUUGCACAAAAUGUUCUUUUUGA
rnacentral:sRNA from 1 species